GACGAACGCUGGCGGCAUGCCUAAUACAUGCAAGUUGAACGCUGCAUGCUGGUACUUGUACCGACUGGAGGGGCAGCGGACGGGUGAGUAACGCGUGGGGAGUCUGACUCUGAGCGAGGGGCGACAUUAGGAAACGAAUGCUAAGACCGCAUAAAAACUUUCAACAAAAGCUUUAAGUGUGAGAGAUGCAAUUGCAUCACUCAAAGGUGAUACCGCGGUGUAUUAGCUAGUGGGUGAGGUAAAGGUUCAACAAGGCGAUGAUACAUAGCCGACCUGAGAAGGGGAGCUGACACACUGGGACUGAGAGACGGCCCAAACUCCUAGGGGAGGCAGCAGUAGGGAACCUUCGGCAGUGGACGAAAGGCUGAACCAGCAACGACGCGUGAGUGAAGAAGGUUUUCGGGUCGUAAAAAUCUUUUGGGAGAGAAGAACGUUAGAGUGUGUGGAAAGCGCAUCAAGUGACGGUAACUGCCCAAGAAGCCACGGCUAACUACGUG
rnacentral:rRNA from 1 species